rnacentral:rRNA from 1 species
UACGGAAGGGGCAAGCGUUGUUCGGAAUCAUUGGGCGUAAAGGGCGCGUAGGUGGUUCUGUAUGUCUACCGUGAAAGCGUACGGCUCAACCGUAUUUUGUCGGUAGAAACUGCAGGACUUGAGGCUGGGAGGGGCUGGUGGAAUUCCCUGUGUAGCGGUGAAAUGCGUAGAGAUGGGGGAGAACACUCGUGGCGAAGGCAGCCAGCUAGACCAGUUCUGACACUGAGGCGCGAUAGCGUGGGGAGCAAACAGG